UAAGAACUAAAAAUAAAAUUCAUAUUACCAGACUUUCAGUCUAGUAUUUUUCUCUUUCACCCUACAGAUAGAAGAUUGUGUAGGCAGACCGUCUGACAGUCCAUCUCGCAAUAUGGUCCAGUAAUUGUUUCUCUGUUCUGAUAACUCCUCCCCCCAUGCAUCCCCCAUCCCUGUUCUCUUCCCGAAUUGGUGCUACCUCCUAUUUGGGAAAUACUUUUGCUUUUAAGAGUCUCAUGGUGACAGAGUAGAGAUAAGGAAGAAGAGGCAGUAACAUUACUACCCAGGGCCAGUUUUGGGCUUGAGGAUCAUAGGGAAAAGAUGGUUUAAGAAUUUAUUGGAAGAAGACUACAAAUAGGGUUCAGUGUAUACUGCUCGGGUGACGGUUGCACCAAAAUCUCACAAAUCACCACGAAAGAACUUACUCAUGCAACCAAACACCAUCUGUUCCCCAAUAACUUUUAUGGAAAUUAAAAAUAAAUUUUAAAAGUGUUUAUGGGAAGAUUCUGAUCUUUCCCCCUUACUAACCACAUAAAUCCUGGAAAAAUAACUAAUUCCCUCUUGUUUUUGGUGUGGAAAAUGAGAAACUGGAUAUAAUAGGGUCUAGGAUAGUACUUGGCUCAUACAUGUUGUUUGAUACCUGUUAACCCUCUCUUUCUUUUAAUUUUCUGUAGUUCCUCCAGCAUAAAAACAAGACAAAGUUUCUGCAGAGCUGCUCUAACCCAAUAAUAAAAUUGGACAAUAAGCUGCAUAUCUGCCGGAAACCUGGGACUGGCAAUGGAGAUGAGAAGAGAAUCAGAAGGGAUAUGUCUGAUGACAUAGAAGCUGUGGAAUCCAUUCUUCAGGGUCUAAACUCAAGCCUGGUCCUUAGUUCUCCGUACUGUAUUCUUCCUGACCUCCAGACCUGAGCGUCCUCCCCUUCAAAAGACAAAGCCAUCCAAAGAGUCUGAGCACUCCAAGUGAGCAGCUUGAAGAGUGAGAGACAUGGACAGAGGGAAGGGCAGGUCUGUGCAGCCUGUGGCCAUAAACCCCACCUCUGGCCUUCUCCAGUGAAGCCACACUCAAGAUUUAAGAGAACUUGUGAUCAACUUGGGGUAUUUGCACCCCACGAAAAGGGAGUUUGCAGGAUCCCUAAUAUCACUGCGAGUUGCCACUUUUCCAGUCUUUUUUUGCUGUUCGCUCAUAUCCACAGGGAAAAAAACGAAAUGAGCAGCCCAGUCCCUCAGGCCUUUUUCUUUAAUGUUGCCAUCAAAAAUCAAUAAAAUGCAUCAAGCUGUUUCAACUAAGUUGAUCUCAAAUCAAACUGGUAUGGUUGUCAGGGAAUAUGUUGAACUAUAUUUAAGUGAAGAAAGAUUUU
rnacentral:lncRNA from 1 species